GAGUCAAAAUUGAACCAUGAAGACGGUUGGGUGGUACAGACACUUCAAACCACCUUCGUUUGCCAUCAAUGAUUGAGAAAGAAAUUUUUUCUUCGAGUUUAGAUCUCUUGGCCACCAACGGCGAUUAGGGUUUCGUGAACUGGUCAGUGAGCAUUUCCUGCAAAACAGUGAAGGAGCAAAUUGGAUGUGAGGACCGAGUUUGAGUCGCAGAAGCUUAAAGCUCUAUUCCUGAUCAAGGAGUCAAUCUGGCGGAUAAUUAGAUCCGCCAAUCUGAAGGUGUUUCUGUGAAGGCGGUGAUUUCUUUCCGUCCACACAAAGUAGAUCGUGGCUUGCCAAGCGAUAAGGAGCAACGUCUUGCUACUCGAGUUCCCCUGUGGUCGAUAAGGUUCUGCAUGGUCCCGUUCCACGAUCGUGCAGCAGUGAAAGAGCAGCGGCGAGCAGUGGUGUGCCAGAUGGUCCAAGUGAAAGGGCAGUUGAAGAAAAGAUGGUCUCGACUUUCAUCUUCUCCAUUGUAAGCAAACUGGGUUGACUUGUAAUCCCCAUUCUCUUAACCUGUCUCGAGUGGGGCUGCGAUUCAACAGAAAAAGCCAUGUAAGAAAGUUAUGCUUUGGGAUCCCUCUUGAGUACCAGACUAUCUUAUGCCAUGGGACCGUAGAUAUAAUUGUCGGGGACAUCUGUGAGUUGGAUAGUGGAUAGCUCAAUGUGGUAAUUAACUUGCGCUUCAGAGCGUGCAGGAGACAAUCUCCAAGCGCCUCGAUACCAUAGAUCUGCCAGUGUGGCUCCUCUGGGAAUCCCUAGUAAGCCCUCUCGACGGAGACCUCUUCUCUAGUUUUCAGGAGCUUAUUUGCAAGCCAGGAAUACUUGGUGUUUGGCUUUCGGGUCCAAAAGUUGAUGAGGUUUCCGGAUAGGACAAAUCCUCUAAACCAAGCUACCUAGAUAGAUCCUAAACGAAAAAAUAGCAGCCAGAUAAGUUUGAUCAUGCAUGCCUUAUUCCAGCUUUUCAAGUCCCGUAUUCCUAACCCUCCUUCAGUUUUCGCAGAUGUUACCUUAUCCCAAGCUACCUGUGCUGAGUGAUGGCCCUCUGUUGUUCCUUUCUACAAGAACGCACCAGACAGUGAGUUCAAGAUGCUUAUACACCUCUUUGGCAAUACAAACGCUGAACACCAGAAGUUAGUGAUUCCAUUGAUUAUUGUGUUUAACAAUUGAAGUCUGCCUGCGAAAGAGAGGGAUUUAGUAGACCACGCGUUAAAUCUGCUUUUCACCUUUUGUAUGAGUGGAGCACAAUCUAGAAGAGUAAGCUUCUUAGUGAAUAGAGCUUGGUCCAGCAUUAUUGAAAGACAGUUCAUAGCAAUGACGAAGAGGUAGGGUGAGAGCGGGCAGCCUUGCCUCAGUCCCCUGGUGCUUUGAAAUACCCAUGCACGUUGCUAUUGAAGCCCACUGAGAAAGAAGGGGUGCAGAUGCAAGCUUGCAACCAGCGAAUAUAGAGUUCUGGGACCUCAAUGCCUUGCAGACAGCUGAAGAUAAAAUCCCAUCGAAUUGUGUCAAAAGCUUUUGCUAUGUCAAUCUUGAUGACUAAUUCCUUUGGAUCAAAUCAUGGAGAGCUGGCUUAAGUCGAGAGACAAGCAACUUGGAGAUGACCUUAUACAAGGUAUUAAGGCAUAAAAGUUCUAUUGUUGUUGUUUAGUUAUGCAUAGAAGAAAGUCUCAUGAUUAUAACUUGGUGAAAGGGUGCAUGUGAUAAAAAAAAUCACUAGUGGUUAAUGAGUUCUCUACUAAGUGAACCAAAAGCUUAGAGCAUAUAUAUUGGUAAGGUCAUGUGCAUUAGUUAGUCUUUCAUCAAGUUUCUCACUAACAAAAUAACUAAUAAAAUAUGAAAUAAUAACUUUUUAUUAUAAAAGUUUCUCAAAACAAAGAAAAAAGUUAUUCAAGGAUUCUCAAAUGAGAAUCGUUCUCAUUUUUAACAAGAAAUUCUCAUAAUAAAAAAUUAUUAUACUAUAUUUUAUUAUUUCUUAUUUAAACGAGAGACUUUGGUGAUAGAACUCCAAUGCUCUUUCUCUAAAUAUUAAGUAAGUUUCACAAAAUAUUUUAUUUUAAUAUAAAAUUAUUAUUUAGUUAAAUUACAAAUCAGAAAAAAUAAAAUAUAACCAGUUAAAAUUAGACAUGUGUCUAGAAUAGUCUCACCUUCUUUCAUACUUUUUGUUACUUUUUAUUUUUUAAUUGGUGAAAAACUCUCAAUAGUCAAUACACA